CAAAUCCUUAUUAUUGUCUUGGUCAUUUCUUUCAGGUGAAGUCCUGAUUCCAAUACAUUUCCCUGCUUCUCUAAACGUCGAUUCAAAGCAAGAGCAAGCAAAAACAAGAAAUGAAAAGGGAAGAUAAUAAAAGGAAAACAAGAAAUGCGCAAACAGGAUGCAGCUCUGGGAAGAGAUGCAUCCAAAUGAAAAUUGUAUAACUACAAAAGUUCUCCUAAAGUAAACAUUCCGAAUGGCUUCCACAGUGCUUUCACUUUCAUUGAUAGCUUGUGAGAUACUUGUUGCAUGGUUGGCCGAGACCUUGGAUUGGCAUGGAGGCAAGCAAAUGCUAAUUUCACUAUGGAAACUACUUCCGCUGCUUCCUUAUUUGUGGGUGGUGGGAGGCGUUGGUCCAAUGUAUCUUUCAGGAGAAUUUCGUAGGUAGCUGAUGGUGUUGAUGUUGAUAGAGACAGGAUUAUAUCCCCUGGAUGCCUUCCCAUGAUCACUUCCAGUGAUACCACUCCAAAGCUUUACACAUCACACUUCUCAUUUGCUUCCAUGCUGUAGGCAAGUUCUGGAGCGAAAUUGCCAAAUGUGCCAGCCAAAGAUGUCCAACGGGUAGAGUCCAGCUUCAAAAUCCUUGCUGUGCCAAAGUCGGAGAUGUGAGCCACUUGCUCUGAAUCCAUCAAUAUAUUGUUGCUUGAUAUGUCACGAUGAACAAUAGGAGGUGAGCAAUCAUGGUGCAUAUAAGUUAAGGCACUGGCCACUCCUUUCACAACAUUUAUUCUUGUGAUCCAUUUUAACUCCUCGGCUUUUACCUUCUCCUGUAGUAUCUUUCCCAAGCUUCCUCCUCCAAGGAACUCGUAAACCAAAUAUAAGUACUGUGCAUGCAAACAGAAACCAUGGAACUUCACAAUAUUUCGGUGUCUUGUUUUGGUUAAUGCACAAAUUUCACUUGUAAAAGCCUUUAAAUUGGACAUUUCAAUCCCUUCAUGUUGGUGAAGCUUCUUCACAGCAACAACCAGUUGGAAGCUCUGCAUUGUAAACAGUCCCACAUCCUCCCACUCCAAUACAAUGCUUGGAGCUGAAUCUCUCUGUUGCUGCCAUUAUGCUUUCAUGCACAACUUUCCCAUCAUAGCUGCAUAUUGCAAAUAUAUUAUCCUUUCCUUCUUCUUUGGCUUCAUCUGCGAUCCCGGCUCUUUUUCCAACAAUAGCAACAACUCCAGAAAUGACAAAUACAAGGACUAAGGUGCUUGAAAGAGGAACUGCGAUCAAUAUAAUUGCCUUGUUGCCAUCUUUUCUGCGCAAUCUGCUUAUCUUUGUAGAAGGGCAAGCUUUAAAACGAGGAUUGUUGCCACAUAAACCUUUAUUAUUAAUCAAUUCCGCUACUGGUGCCCAGCUAAAGGCUUUAUUGUUGGGAAGUGGACCCUCCAAUUGAUUGAAGGAGAUAUCAACAGCAGUCAAGCUCAACAUUUCACUGAAAGUGGAUGGGAUGGAACCUGAGAGUUCAUUGUGGGAGAGAUUUAAUGUCUCUAAGUCACGCAAAUAUCCAAGCUCCUGUGGUAUCUCUCCUUCAAGCAAAUUGUAACUUAGAUCGAGCAUUUGCAAAGAAAGUAACUUGCCAACUUGAAAUGGAACACUUUUACUGAACCUGUUUUUGCUUAAGUUCAAGAACUGCAGCUUUAAGGAGUCUUUCAGUUCUGGAAUCAAUCCUCUGAGAUCAUUUACUGCAAGGCUAAGAUCAGUAAGCUCGGAUAACAUUCCAAGUUAUGAGGGAAUAUUACCUGAAAAUUUGUUAUUGUUCAAUUUAAGUUUGAACAACAACUUCAAUGCCCCUAGUUCCUUUGGAAUAUUCCCUACCAGACAAUUUUUGGAGAGGCCCAGUACCUGCAAUUGAUUUGCUUUCCCAAGCUCCGGUGGUAUCCCACCAGAAAUUCCAUUGUUGGACAAUUUCAAGAGUGUCAGAUUACGACAAUGCCCCCAAUUUUGAGAAAGCUCACCAUGCAACCUAUUGUAGCUCAGAUCAACGAAUUUCAAAUUUGGGUAUAUGCCAAAAUCUUCUGAUAUGUGUCCAUCUAGUUUAUUUCUUUCAAGCCUAACUCUGAUUAAGCUUGUGCAGUUCUUCAAACUUUUUGGUAUGGAACCCACAAAACUAUUAUUACCCAUGACGAAAACUUCAAGUACUCCACCAAGGCAUAUGUUUUGGGGUAAAUGUCCAGACAACAUAUUAUCAGCCAGUUGCAAUGAUUUUAAAGAUGUAAAAUUAUGCAUUUCUAGAGGGAUUGGGCCACUAAGAUUGUUCAUGAAUAACCUAAGGUCAGUAAGGUACUUGAGCUUUCCUAUUUCUGGAGGAAUUUGGCCGGAAAAAUGAUUGAUUGAUAGUUCCAACUCUGUAAGCUUGGUUAAGUUCCCUAUGGUGAAAGGAAUUGAUCCAGAAAGCAUGUUGUUGUGAAGGUACAGGAGAGUUAAGUUGCCCAAAUUUCCUAUAGAUGCAGGGAUGGGACCGCUGAGAUUGUUUGUUGACAGUUCAAGCUCAAUAAGAGAUUGCAACUUUCCUAAUUAAAGAG
rnacentral:misc_RNA from 1 species